rnacentral:tRNA from 1 species
GUGCAAAUCUUUGUAAAAAGAAAAUCCGUUGGCUUUUAUAGACCAUGAGGGUUCAAGUCCCUCUACCCCCA